rnacentral:rRNA from 1 species
GCUUAACACAUGCAAGUCGAGGGGCAGCAUGGUCUUAGCUUGCUAAGGCCGAUGGCGACCGGCGCACGGGUGAGUAACACGUAUCCAACCUGCCGUCUACUCUUGGACAGCCUUCUGAAAGGAAGAUUAAUACAAGAUGGCAUCAUGAGUCCACAUGUUCACAUGAUUAAAGGUAUUCCGGUAGACGAUGGGGAUGCGUUCCAUUAGAUAGUAGGCGGGGUAACGGCCCACCUAGUCUUCGAUGGAUAGGGGUUCUGAGAGGAAGGUCCCCCACAUUGGAACUGAGACACGGUCUAAACUCCUACGGGAGGCAGCAGUGAGGAAUAUUGGUCAAUGGGCGAGAGCCUGAACCAGCCAAGUAGCGUGAAGGAUGACUGCCCUAUGGGUUGUAAACUUCUUUUAUAAAGGAAUAAAGUCGGGUAUGCAUACCCGUUUGCAUGUACUUUAUGAAUAAGGAUCGGCUAACUCCGUGCCAGCAGCCGCGGUAAUACGGAGGAUCCGAGCGUUAUCCGGAUUUAUUGGGUUUAAAGGGAGCGUAGAUGGAUGUUUAAGUCAGUUGUGAAAGUUUGCGGCUCAACCGUAAAAUUGCAGUUGAUACUGGAUAUCUUGAGUGCAGUUGAGGCAGGCGGAAUUCGUGGUGUAGCGGUGAAAUGCUUAGAUAUCACGAAGAACUCCGAUUGCGAAGGCAGCCUGCUAAGCUGCAACUGACAUUGAGGCUCGAAAGUGUGGGUAUCAAACAGGAUUAGAUACCCUGGUAGUCCACACGGUAAACGAUGAAUACUCGCUGUUUGCGAUAUACAGCAAGCGGCCAAGCGAAAGCGUUAAGUAUUCCACCUGGGGAGUACGCCGGCAACGGUGAAACUCAAAGGAAUUGACGGGGGCCCGCACAAGCGGAGGAACAUGUGGUUUAAUUCGAUGAUACGCGAGGAACCUUACCCGGGCUUAAAUUGCAGAUGAAUUACGGUGAAAGCCGUAAGCCGCAAGGCAUCUGUGAAGGUGCUGCAUGGUUGUCGUCAGCUCGUGCCGUGAGGUGUCGGCUUAAGUGCCAUAACGAGCGCAACCCUUGUUGUCAGUUACUAACAGGUCAUGCUGAGGACUCUGACAAGACUGCCAUCGUAAGAUGUGAGGAAGGUGGGGAUGACGUCAAAUCAGCACGGCCCUUACGUCCGGGGCUACACACGUGUUACAAUGGGGGGUACAGAGGGCCGCUACCACGCGAGUGGAUGCCAAUCCCAAAAACCUCUCUCAGUUCGGACUGGAGUCUGCAACCCGACUCCACGAAGCUGGAUUCGCUAGUAAUCGCGCAUCAGCCACGGCGCGGUGAAUACGUUCCCGGGCCUUGUACACACCGCCCGUCAAGCCAUGGGAGCCGGGGGUACCUGAAGUGCGUAACCGCGAGGAGCGCCCUAGGGUAAAACUGGUGACUGGGGCUAAGUCGUA